UUUUUCUUAAACCAUAAGCAGAAGGUCAACUUUAUUUGUUGUAUGUCUGCCUGGCAUUGUUCAUCUGACCUUGACCUCAUUUUCAUCGUUCAUUGGUCAGUGUUCAAUUUUCAUGGUUAAUGUUUAGUUUAUUUGACAGUUGUAAUAACGCUUUGUUUUAUAGGUCAGGACUAUCAACAUAAUAUCAAUGAUAAUUAAAGAAAGCGAGACAUUUCAGUUUCUGCACUUUUGUUAUGCUGACAUCAUCUGUUUGUGUUCAAAUCAUCUAUGUUUGUGCUGAUGUCAUCUUAUUUUGUGCAAGCAUCAUCAUUUUUGUGCUGACAUCAUCUAGGUUUGUGCUGACAUCAUUUUUUGUUUAUAGAAUAAUGUUUUCAAAUUGAUACAGAAUAUACCGGUAAAUUGUUUCAUAAAAAAAAAUAUUUCUAAUUCCUAAGAAAAUAAACAUUUUCUAUCUUACUGGUUUAAAACAUUAUUUAAAUACAUAUAGUUCUGAGGAAAUAUAAAAAUCUAAAAAUUACUCUGAACCUAUUAAUACCUUCAUUUCUUGCUAAUGAUCUUUUGAAAGAUACAUGCUGUUCUAACUUUCGUCCUCUUUAUAUCAACUCCAGAUAUUUUCAGCAAAAUAGAUUGACCCUGGAAUUUUAUAUAAUAUUUCGAAUAAAUAAAUAUGUAUUAAAGGGGCUACUAGCUACAAGAUGUAUAAAAAAUCUAAUAUCUUUUUUUAUUUGCUCAAUCAAUAAUGAAAUGCAAAUAGUAAAAUAAUAAUUAACUUUUAGCUGACAAGAUGGUCCAAAUUUGUCAAAAUAAGCUAAUAAACCUUGAUUUUUGAAUUAUUCACUUGCAAGUGAAUAAUUCGACCUCAUUGAAUCCGUAUUCAUGUGAACUUCAAUUUAAACCCUUAGCAUUAGAUAGAUAACACGUGAAUUGUAUGUGUGAAGUUAUUUAAAGGAAAAGAAUGCCAACAUUGAAAGGGAAACAAAGGUAAAUCAUUUGUCAGAUUGACUGAUUCUAUCCAUAAAAAUUUGUUCUAUAAAUAUAGGUAAAAACGAUGGUAAACACUUAUUUUUCAUCAAUACAAUGAAAUUAAAUAGACCUAGAAUAAUCCUGCAGCACGAGUUUGCUUCAUCUUUUUAUAUCUAUAUUUAUGGUUACAUUGCUUAUAUGGUCAUUCCAUAUUUUAGAGGUCAACUCGACAAUUAAUUAGAUGGCGUCUAGUGAAAUACACAGGAAACGAAGCUUCAUAUUUUCAUGCUCGUGCCCUGUUUAUUAUUUAUUUUAGAUUUUCAAUAGUUUGAAUAAAUAUUUUACAUUAUUAUAAAUAAAAUAUGAGAUUUUCGAUUAAAUGGGUGAACAUGAAUUUGACAGCUAGUGCCCCUUUGAAGAAAUUAGAAAUUUAUUUAAUUUUGAAUUUACUUUUUAAUUAGCUCACUAAGGUAGAAGCAGAUUUGAACAAAUCAAAACAAGUAAGAGAAAAACAAGCGAGAGAAUUCCAGAAGCAGUUGGAUGAGGAAAGACACCAGCAUGAACGACGGG
rnacentral:lncRNA from 1 species